rnacentral:rRNA from 1 species
CCUACAGGUGGCUGCAGUGAGGAAUAUUGGUCAAUGGACGAGAGUCUGAACCAGCCAAGUAGCGUGAAGGAUGAAUGCCCUAUGGGUUGUAAACUUCUUUUAUAAAGGAAUAAAACGAGGCACGUGUCCCUUUUUGCAUGUACUUUAUGAAUAAGGAUCGGCUAACUCCGUGCCAGCAGCCGCGGUAAUACGGAGGAUCCGAGCGUUAUCCGGAUUUAUUGGGUUUAAAGGGAGCGUAGAUGGGUUGUUAAGUCAGUUGUGAAAGUUUGCGGCUCAACCGUAAAAUUGCAAUUGAUACUGGCAGUCUGGAGUACAGUUGAGGUAGGCGGAAUUCGUGGUGUAGCGGUGAAAUGCUUAGAGAUCACGCAGAACCCCGAUUGCGAAGGCAGCUUACGAAACUGUGACUGACAUUGAUGCUCGAAAGUGUGGGUAUCAAACAGGAUUAGAUACCCGUGUAGUC